rnacentral:rRNA from 1 species
UUCCGGUUGAUCCUGCCGGAGGCUACUGCUAUCGGGGUUCGAUUAAGCCAUGCGAGUUAAAUGUUCUUCGUGAACAUAGCGAACUGCUCAGUAACACGUGGAUAACCUACCCUUAGGACCGGAAUAACCCCGGGAAACUGGGGAUAAUACCGGAUAAGCCAUAGACGCUGGAAUGCCCUAUGGUUCAAAGCUCCGGCGCCUAAGGAUGGAUCUGCGGUCUAUCAGGUUGUAGUGGGUGUAACGUACCUACUAGCCGACGACGGAUACGGGUUGUGAGAGCAAGAGCCCGGAGAUGGAUUCUGAGACACGAAUCCAGGCCCUACGGGGUGCAGCAGGCGCGAACACUUUACAAUGCGGGAAACCGCGAUAAGGGAACCCCGAGUGCCAGCAUCAAAUGUUGGCUGUCCAGAUGGUUAAAAAUCAUUUGUUAGCAAGGGCCGGGCAAGACCGGUGCCAGCCGCCGCGGUAACACCGGCGGCCCGAGUGGUAGCCGUUUUUAUUGGGUCUAAAGGGUCCGUAGCCGGCCUGAUAAGUCCUUUGGGAAAUCUGACAGCUUAACUGUCAGGCUUCUAAGGGAUACUGUCAGGCUUGGGACCGGAAGAGGUAAGGGGUACUCCAGGGGUAGGAGUGAAAUCUUGUAAUCCCUGGGGGACCAUCUGUGGCGAAGGCGCCUUACCAGAACGGGUCCGACGGUGAGGGGCGAAAGCUAGGGGAGCAAACCGGAUUAGAUACCCGGGUAGUCCUAGCUGUAAACGAUGCUCGCUAGGUGUCAGACACGGUGCGACCGUGUUUGGUGCCGCAGGGAAGCCGUUAAGCGAGCCACCUGGGAAGUACGGUCGCAAGGCUGAAACUUAAAGGAAUUGGCGGGGGAGCACUACAACGGGUGGAGCCUGCGGUUUAAUUGGAUUCAACGCCCGGG